GAAAUUAGAAGGAGGAUGGGAAAAACUACCUGAAGGUUAAAACGGAAAAACAACGUGCAGAACAGCUUGUGAAGAGACCGCCCCGCCCCCCCCAGUCUCAGCUUCUGGGAGCACCACGUGAUCACGGGGGUCUCUGGGAGACGGCCUAGGGCUCAGCCCAUCAGCACAUCCCAACGCAGGCUGCAGGGACGGCACACACAAGGGCCUCGAACACCAGCGCAGCAACAUUCACACCGGCAGCCAUGGUGCUCCCUUGCUCCCAGACCCUGUUUCCUGUCUUUCUAGCUUCAAAAAUGACUUCAGGGGCGCCAGGGUGGCUCAGUCAGUUAAGUAUCCUACUCUUGGU